rnacentral:tRNA from 1 species
CGGGUGUUAGCUCAGCUUGGUAGAGCGCUACCUUGGGGUGGUAGAGGCCGCUGGUUCAAAUCCAGUACAUCCGAUCA